rnacentral:rRNA from 1 species
CCUACGGGAGGCAGCAGUGGGGGAUAUUGGACAAUGGGGGGAACCCUGAUCCAGCGACGCCGCGUGAGUGAAGAAGUAUCUCGGUAUGUAAAGCUCUAUCAGCAGGGAAGAAGAAAUGACGGUCCCUGCGUAAGAAGCCCCGGCUAACUACGGGCCAGACGCCGCGGUAAUCCGUAGGGGGCAAGCGUUAUCCGGUAUUACUGGGUGUAACGGGAGCGUAGACGGUGCUGUAAGGCUGGAGUGAAAGGCGGGGGCCCACCCCCCGGACUGCUCUGGAAACUAUGUGACUGGAGUGCAGGAGAGGUGAGCGGAAUUCCUAGUGUAGCGGUGAAAUGCGUAGAUAUUAGGAGGAACACCAGUGGCGAAGGCGGCGCACUGGACUGUAACUGACGUUGAGGCCCGAAAGCGUGGGGAGCAAACAGGAUUAGAUACCCUAGUAGUC